GGGCAAAAAUUUUGUGGUUGGGUUGGUGUCCCAGUCCCUCCACUUGAAGCCUUGCCCAGUUACAGAAGAUGGCUGAUUCAGGCUUGGUGUCCCCCAUCACUAGGAGUCCUCACUAGGGUCACCCUUGUAGAUUCCAGGGAGUUCUCACUGCAUUAGUUUUCCCCAUAGCCCCUCAAAUGACCCCCAAUUCUGGUUUUCUCUCCCCAUGCUCUCUCUUCCCUUCUUCCCACCCCAACUACCCCCAGUCCACCUGGAAAUUCUAUUUUGUGGGGAAUUUUCUUGACAGAUGAUUGAUGUGAAAGGAUCCAGCCCACUAUGGGCAGUGCCCCCCUUAGGCAGGUGGUCUUGGAUGGUAUAAGAAAGCAGACUGAGAAAGCCACGAGGAGUCAGUCAGUAAGCGGCACUCCUUCAUGGCCUCUGCAUCAGUUCCCGCCUGCAGUUUCCCACCCUGACUUCCCUGAGUGAGGGACUAUGAACUGUAAGAUGAAAGAAACCCCUUUCACCCCCAAGGUGCCUUUGGUCAGAGUGUUUUAUCAGAAUAGAAACCCUAAGACGGAUAGCUUUCUAAAUUGCUUCAUUUUCUGAGGCUCUGAGAAUACACCUGGUUCCCUAAAGCAUCAAAUUAUGCUUAUCUAUUUAAGUAUACUUGAGCUUCUAUUCUACAUUUGUGGGUUCUGUAUGCACAGAUUCAACCAAUUGUGAACUUAAAACGAGACAAAAUUAUGUCUGCCCUGAACAUUUACCGACAUUUAUUUCUUAUCAUUAUCCCUUAAGUAAUAUAGCAUGACAACUAUUUGUGCAGCAUUUACACUUCUUAUAAGUAAUGUAGAGAUGAUUUGAAGUAUAUGAGAAUAUAGGUGCUAGUUAUAUGUAAGUAUUAAUCCAUGUUAUGUAUGAACCUCAAAUACUGGCAGAUUCCAAUUUCUUCAGGGCAUCCUGGAUGCAGUGCUCUUAUGGACGCUAAGGACCAACACAGUUAUAACUGAUCCGUGCCCAGUACCUUUGUGUUAUCUGACUACUCAUACGGGUAUGGAGCCUGGCCAGAAUGCGUCGAUGCACCAGCUAUCAUACUGUAAAGGGAAAGCCAUUCCACUUCUCUGAGCAGCUACCAAAUGCCAAUAGCUUCUUGGCUGGGGUGGAGCUUCAUGACCACUCCUUCCCAUCCAGAGAAGAAUAAGCUAACGGAUGACUGGAAUCGUCAAGAAUGAAAAAUGAACAGAUUUGACUUAUGCUCCGUGGGAUCUGCUCUGCAGCUAUUCUUUGUAGUUGAGAGGCUACUGAAUCUUGCUGUCUAACAUAAGGGUCAAAGAUGGUGACAGAUUAGAUCUUGCUGUCUCUUACAGUCACAUUGUGUUGUAUGACUGGAGCUAGGUGAGAUCCAGGAACCACUCGAUGACCUUACUUGUUGCAGCAAGGGCAAUGGUGUGGCACAGCUCUAUAUUUGUUUGUUUCCUCACCCAAAGCCUUGAAUCUCUGAAACUCAAAAUGGACUUCAUCAGAAGUAGAAAAUAAUUUUCUAAAUUAAAAGGCCUUCAAACAACAAAUAAACUAACAUAUUUACAUCAUAAUAAACUUUUGUCUAUCUCUA